UGUAUCGUGUCCCUUGUCUUUUGUGUAUUAUGUGAUGUUUGGGUAUCUCAUGUCUCUUAUCUUAGCCCUGUGAAGGGCCUGUCAGAAACCUUGGCGCCAUUCUUAGAAUCUGUGAUCUCAGUGUUCCUCAGCCUGGUGCCCAGGCCAUGGAACCUUUGACUCAGGAGCUCCGACAGGCAUCAGAAUUGCAUCUCUCUUUGGAAGCAUCCAGUCAGGUGGCUUUUCAGGUCUUGUUCUGAGCUGCACGGACAGCCGUGCUCCUCAGUGCUCCGUUAUGACGGAUUAGGCUUUGUAAGAAUGCGAGGUUAGGGAGAGGAUUCUGACCGUAGGAUUCCUGGGUAUCCAUCUUUGCAGUUCGUGGAAUAAAUCAUUCAGCCAGCAUCUUCCUCUAGGGUUCUCUGAGCCUCAUCAGUUUGCCAUCUGUCUCAUCUUGGUCAUCUCCUUUUGCAUUCUCUGAGUCCUUGCAGCCACUUUCCUUGCCAGGAGAUUUCUGUUCCUGUUGUGUCCCCCCUGUCUGUCACGUCCUGUCCCGUGUCACGGGUGUCAGCACACACAUUUGUGCCGGAGCUGCUCUGCCCUGCCACAUAGCCUGGUGCAGUAGGAGAAGUCCCUGGGAGUUUGUAAUGUGGGGUGUAGUGGGACUCUAGAUGGGAUUUGUAGAUGGACACCAGACGUCUGGAGCUCCUAAGUUAUCCUGCAACAGUUUGAGUUUUGUCCUAACUUUUUUUUCAGAUUCAGAUGGAUUAAAUGUGUGCCAGAGGGCCCCAUCCCGAGUGAGGGGUUUCCCCCGUGCAGGAAGUAAAUGUGGAUACCAGCAGUCAAGGCAAUCCACUCGGAGUAUGCCAAGCCCCUGUCACCAGCCGGCCGAUGCACCGGGUUUCCUGCAAAUGUGAAGCCUGUGGAUGUAUUACAGGACUUGGUGAUGAAACCCUGAACUUUUCUAUUUAAAGGUGCCAUCCAGGUGGCCUCCGGCAGCUGCCCAGGAGUUGUGGCGUCCCCUGUGGCAACGGCCUCGGUCUCUGAGUGUGCCCGAAGCGUGCGGCCCAAGCAGCUGAGCGUUCUUAAGA